GAGCGUUGCAAUUUAGAAUCUUUUCAAAAUUAAGAGUUGAGGUUAGCAUGUCAUGCUUGAGUAAACAUGACACCUCUAAACAGUUGAGUGAAUCUGAGUGCAAAUACUUGUUCCUGUGAUGCUGAAACUGACUUAUACUUAUCUGAGUGUGUUAAUUGCUGAAAUUGGUUGAAUUUGAUUGUUUCUGAAAUGCUGGGAUUGCUGAAACUGAGGUUUGAAGCUGAGAAUCAUGAUUGUGUAGUUCUCCUUGAUGAAAUGGCUGUGAAAUGAUUGAAAUUGCAGGAUUGAAUGAAGUUGUGAAUAAGUCUUGGGUACCUUGUGUUCUGUUGAGUCUUUUCCCUUUGUAGUUUGAGUCUUUGCUUUUCUUUUCUUUUUUUUCUUUUUAGUUUGUCCCUGCUCAGGAGGGCAGUUGUCUAAGUGUGGGGGUGUGAUAACUCUCCAAAUUUACACAUUUUUCUUUGUUUAGAAGUCUUUUUUAAUUCAUUUUAGUCUUUAAUCAUUUAGAAUUAGGAUAAAUUUAGGUUUUUCUUUAAAUUCUUUAGUUUUAAAAAAUUGUAGUUAAAAAUAGAUUUUUAGAUGUAAAUUUUAGUCUUGGUUAAUAAUUAGAAAACUUUUAUUUUUUUAGAAAAU
rnacentral:lncRNA from 1 species